AGCUCAGUUACACAUGCCUCAGCUCGAGCUCUUUCAUCUCCUCUCCCUUCCUUGAGUUUCUUUGCUUAAUUGAGCUCUUUCUAGUUGAUUAAGUAGAGGACUCAAGUGCUAGCUCGCCCUAAAAUAAAAUUUGAGUAGUAAUUAGUGAAGUUCACAACAACAAAAAACAUUUCCGUUCCGAAUAAAUUCAUGGCACGCUGAACAUCGAACGUUUGUGGUGGUUUAAUACCCUGCAAGAAUGACUAACGACUAGCAAAUAACGCUAACCCUCUUCUUAACCCCUUGUUUCCUUCGGGUAUUGCUUGUACUAAUCUUUUGCAGGCACCAUGCUGAAUCGAGCUAAGGAGAAAGUCAAGAAGGCACUCUCGAGAAAGUCGAGAAGCUCGUGGAGUUCCUCUUCUUCUCGGGAUAACAUGUCGGUCGACUCCGGUCACCGCUCACACGCAUCACGGGAAGAAGAAGAAGAAAUUCCUGCAGUCCCACGAAACCAUUUCGGCAUCAGGAUCCUGACGAUGGUUGAACAAAUCGUCUUCAAGAACGACUACGAGCGGCAAGCACUCGAGCUGCUGAAGAGGCAAACCUAUGCCCAUGACAAGAGGUUCGAAACCCGCUUCCUCAUCAUGACGGGACUCUUGCAAGACAUGAACCAAGCUUUCACCGCCGUCGGAUGGGAGAACUUCGCCGACAUCGUUGAGCCAGGUUCGCAUCUUUUGACCACGGAAUUUCUUAUGUCUCUUACCGUUGAAGAAACCAGCAUUGAAACUAAAGUUUACUUUCAGUUCUUUAACGAACAAUUCGAAAUGAAUCUCCAACAAUUUAGUGUUGCUUUGGGCUUUAAUAAAAUAUGCAUCUUAGACCCCAACACACUUGUUGAGCAUUAUCAAUAUGACCGUAGCUCUUGGUUGAGUGAAAUUUCUAAUGAAACCGUGAGUAGUAAGAACAGCAUAGUCUCAAUUCAUAAUCCUACUCUUAGGUUUCUCGCCAAGUGGCUCGCCUUGGUUGUGCACUCUCGCACAGACCUUCGCUUCUGCAGCUUGCCCGAGCUGCAGUGUCUGUACGCUAUGGUGAACAAGAUUCGUUUUUCGGCCGUCCGGAGCAUGCUUGCUCAUUGGCAGAAGAUGAUUACAGGUAAAAGCCCCAUCGACAUAACCCCACUGGUCACCCCUGUGGCAAGGUAUGUCAAAGCGAUGGAUGGCGCCGAAGUCACCUUCUUGCCCGAGACGGAGGCAUACAGAUACGAGGUCGGUCUUGAGCAUUUUGUGCAAGGGCACAUGAUGUGAGAAGGGCCAGGAAAUUCUCUCUUUAUGUGUUACCCUGGGUACGAUAGGGAGAUCGAGCUUCCAUGCCCGAGACUCUCUCUCUACUCAGCGAAAAGUCUAACAUUGCAGAUGGAGAAAAGAGAACCCGCAUGGCGAAGUGUUGCAGGUCCAUAGACGAGGAGCAGGACCCGGCAUGAGCAGGCCAGAGCAGGUCCAUCACGACGGAUACCCCCAGUUCAUGCUUCGGCACAACCAGGGCCAUCCACGCAGAAUAUGAGCUUCGAGGAGGCGUACGGGCAUUACAACUAUGACCUAUAUCAGGACGUCAGCAGCGGAUUCGCCGGUGGGCAAGGACCGAACUACCCCGCAGGUAUGCAUCCAUCUUAUGGUCCACAUGUGGGUCCCUCAUCGUCAGCACGCUUCAACUAUGAAGACCCGAUUCUCCGGAGCAUCACGGACCUUUCGAACCGCAUCAGCACCCUUGUACGACGUCUCGAACAUCUUCAUCCACCUUGGGUUGGACUAUUAGCAGUCCCAGCCAUACCAGCCAUACUAGCCACCCUAACAGGAGAACAAUGACGACGAGGAGGAGAACAACGACAACAACGAGGAGAGCAGGAAUCCGAUGAGGAGGACUGAGCUUCAUCGAAGCUUGGGGGUCACACUGUCUGGUAAGUCAUCGCACCCGUUCUUUCUAUUCAGUAGCCAUGCCAAAAAAAAUAUAAUAAUAAUAGUAGUAAUAAAUAAAUAAAUAAUCUCAUAACAAAAAUCCCAAAAAAAUAUUUCCAUGCUUCGAAUAAAAUGUAUAUGGGUGGAAAUCCGUGUAAGCUCUUACUUUGGAAAUGAUGAAUAGUUGCUCUGUUUAAACCCUGUAUGUGCCUCGUUUACAGCUUUUUACUCUCCUAGUACCUGAACUAGUUGGCACAUAUUAGUUCCACUGAAAAAUCUGGUUGCGUGGAGGCAUGAGUUUAAUUUCUAAAGUCUAAGUUGUUGCGGGAUUUGAGAUGUCCCAAACCGGAAUUUAAACUGCUUGCUCUAGUAGGGAACCCCUCAGAAUUCUUUUAAAAAUUAAAAUUCUGGUAAAGGUUUCCUAUGGUUAAAAUGACCCAUCCGGAGCCUUAUAUUGCAUAAAUUGUUCGAGCUAUCUGAAGUUACUUUGAGCUUUGUCAAAUGGUGCAUCCACUUCGAGAAUGGUACUUGCCAACUACAGGUCUUAAUCCCACAUAAAUCCUCCAUUUGCUAGCCCAAACAUACCUGGCCUGUCAGUUACCCAUUCCGUGUAUUGACACCCACUUCUGCCAGCUAUGCUCCCCCGCAAUCUCCAUCGCGGUUCAUCCCACAAGAGCUUCCCAUUCAAAACUCCAAAGAAUUCAAGUUAUAUCAGCAAGGGAGAGUGGAGUUAUCUUCUUUUUAAAAAAAA